UCCUCGAAGGCCGCCCGCUGGCUCUGUC
rnacentral:sRNA from 1 species